rnacentral:rRNA from 1 species
UACGUAGGUGGCAAGCGUUGUCCGGAUUUACUGGGCGUAAAGAGCGCGCAGGUGGUCCGCUGCGUCGUGCGUGAAAGACCCCGGCUCAACUGGGGAGUGUCGUGCGAUACGGGCGGACUGGAGGCCAGUAGGGGGAUGCGGAAUUCCGGGUGUAGUGGUGGAAUGCGUAGAGAUCCGGAGGAACACCAGCGGCGAAGGCGGCAUCCUGGACUGGUCCUGACACUCAGGAGCGAAAGCGUGGGGAGCGAUCCGG